rnacentral:rRNA from 1 species
AUUGAACGCUGGCGGCAGGCCUAACACAUGCAAGUCGAACGAGUGGCGGACGGGUGAGCAAUGUCUGGGAAACUGCCUGAUGGAGGGGGAUAACUACUGGAAACGUUAGCUAAUACCGCAAACCAUCGGAUGUGCCCCGAUGGGAUGAGCUAGUAGGUGGGGUAACGGCUCACCUAGGCGACGAUCCCUAGCGGGUCUGAGAGGAUGACCAGCCACACUGGAACUGAGACACGGUCCAGACUCCUACGGGAGGCAGCAGUGGGGAAUAUUGCACAAUGGGCGCAAGCCUGAUGCAGCCAUGCCGCGUGUAUGAAGAAGGCCUUCGGGUUGUAAAGUACUUUCAGCGGGGAGGCGUUACCCGCCGAAGAAGCACCGGCUAACUCCGUGCCAGCAGCCGCGGUAAUAC